CCCUUAGAUGUUCUGGGCCGCACGCGCGCUACACUGAUCGAUUCAACGAGUUUUGAAAUAAUUUUUGAUUUUUUCAUAUCCUUUGUCGGAAGGCAUGGGUAAUCUUUUAAAUGUCGAUCGUGAUGGGGCUAGAUUCUUGCAAUUAUUAAUCUCCAACGAGGAAUUCCUAGUAAGCGCAAGUCAACAGCUUGCGUUGAUUACGUCCCUGCCCUUUGUACACACCGCCCGUCGCUACUACUGAUUGGAUGUUUAAGCGAGGUUCUCGAACUGCUAGCGACUUAGCUUCGGUGAGGUCGCAGUGUGGGAAGUGAACCUAGCUUUGGUGUCUAGAGGAAGUAAAAGUCGUAACA
rnacentral:rRNA from 1 species